GACGAACGCUGGCGGCGUGCUUAACACAUGCAAGUCGAACGGAAAGGCCCUGCUUUUGUGGGGUGCUCGAGUGGCGAACGGGUGAGUAACACGUGAGUAACCUGCCCUUGACUUUGGGAUAACUUCAGGACACUGGGGCUAAUACCGGAUAGGAGCUCCUGCUGCAUGGUGGGGGUUGGAAUGUUUCGGCGGUUGGGGUGGGACUCGCGGCUUAUCAGUUUGUUGGGGGGGUAGUGGCUUACCAAGCCUUGGACGGGUAGCCGGCUGGGGAGGGGGACCGGCCAAAUGGGGACUGAGAUAGGGCCCAGACCCCUACGGGGGGCAGCGGUGGGGAAUAUGGAAAAUUGGGGCGAGGCCGGUGCAGGCACCGCGGGGUGGGGGAUACGGGCCUUCGGGUUGUAAACCGCUUCGGCAGGUGAGGAAGCGUUAGUGACGGUAAUGGGUAAAGAAGCACCGGCUAACUACGUG
rnacentral:rRNA from 1 species